CCUACGGGUGGCAGCAGCAGGGAAUUUUGCACAAUGGACGAAAGUCUGAUGCAGCGACGCCGCGUGGGCGAUGAAGGCCUUCGGGUUGUAAAGCCCUUUUCUGGGGGAAGAGAGAGGACGGUACCUCAGGAAUAAGCGUCGGCUAACUACGUGCCAGCAGCCGCGGUAAUACGUAGGACGCAAGCGUUAUCCGGAUUCACUGGGCGUAAAGCGCCUGCAGGCGGUCUUGUAAGUUGGGUGUGAAAGCCCCAGGCUUAACCUGGGGAGGCCAUUCAAUACUGCGAGACUUGAGGACGGAAGAGGGAAGCGGAAUUCCCGGUGUAGCGGUAAAAUGCGCAGAUAUCGGGAGGAACACCAGUGGCGAAGGCGGCUUCCUGGUCCGUUCCUGACGCUCGGAGGCGAAAGCUAGGGGAGCAAACAGGAUUAGAUACCCGGGUAGUC
rnacentral:rRNA from 1 species